rnacentral:tRNA from 1 species
AUUUAUAUAGUUUAUAUAAAACAAGUUAUUUUCAAUAACUAGAAAGAUUAUUUUUUUAUAAAUU